AUUGAACGCUGGCGGCAUGCCUUACACAUGCAAGUCGAACGGUUACAGGUCUUCGGAUGCUGACGAGUGGCGAACGGGUGAGUAAUACAUCGGAACGUGCCUAGUAGUGGGGGAUAACUACUCGAAAGAGUGGCUAAUACCGCAUGAGAUCUACGGAUGAAAGCAGGGGAUCGCAAGACCUUGUGCUACUAGAGCGGCCGAUGGCAGAUUAGGUAGUUGGUGGGAUAAAAGCUUACCAAGCCGACGAUCUGUAGCUGGUCUGAGAGGACGAUCAGCCACACUGGGACUGAGACACGGCCCAGACUCCUACGGGAGGCAGCAGUGGGGAAUUUUGGACAAUGGGCGCAAGCCUGAUCCAGCAAUGCCGCGUGCAGGAUGAAGGCCUUCGGGUUGUAAACUGCUUUUGUACGGAACGAAAAGCCCUGGGUUAAUGCCCUGGGGUCAUGACGGUACCGUAAGAAUAAGCACCGGCUAACUACGUGCCAGCCGCCGCAGUAA
rnacentral:rRNA from 1 species